CACCGCGGUUAGACGAGAGGCCCUAGUUGAUGGUACAACGGCGUAAAGGGUGGUUAAGGAUAAUGAAAAAAUAAAGUCGAAUGGCCCUUUGGCUGUCAUACGCUUCUAGGAGUCUGAAGCCCACAUACGAAAGUGACUUUAGCAAAGCCCACCUGACCCCACGAAAGCUGAGACA
rnacentral:rRNA from 1 species